UACGUAGGGAGCAAGCGUUGUUCGGAUUUACUGGGCGUAAAGCGUGCGCAGGCGGUUCGUUAUGUCCGUUGUGAAAGCCCCGGGCUCAACCUGGGAAUGGCAAUGGAAACUGGCGGGCUAGAGUGUGGCAGAGGGGGGUGGAAUUCCGCGUGUAGCAGUGAAAUGCGUAGAGAUGCGGAGGAACACCGAUGGCGAAGGCAGCCCCCUGGGCUAGCACUGACGCUCAGGCACGAAAGCGUGGGGAGCAAACAGG
rnacentral:rRNA from 1 species